CAGGCUCCAUGCUCGCGCAUCGAACUGUCGCUUAGUGUUCCUUUCAUUUCCUCGACCCUCAGGCUAAGUCCUGCUGCGGUGAUGCCUUGUUCCUGUGCUGCUUACCGUCUAUCGCGGAAUCCAAACGUUGUUGCUGCCCCUUCUUAGCCCUUGCCUCUACCUGGGCUCGGGCUGGACCCUGAUGCGGUUCGAGUGCCCCAAGCACGCCCACUCGGCUGCUAUGGAUCACUCGUUCCCGCUCGUGCAUUCGGAUGCCGAA
rnacentral:misc_RNA from 1 species